AAGCAGUUCAAGUCAACGCAAUAAUAUAUUAAAUCCACAGUUUUAUUCACCAAAUUUAUUUUGUCAUUUUUACACACCCGUUUAAAGCCUGAUAAUGCGAUUUUGCCUUGCAUUAGCCAUAGCUCACUGCACAUGUCUUUAUUUCAAGAGACAAAAUGGCGUAGUCAUCAGGUAUUUCCUAAUAGAGAGUCAUGAUAACUGAUUUUGCUUGUACAAAACACCUUUAAAAUGGCCUUUAUGUUUCAUCUAAGAAAAUUAUUUUCCUAUCUCAAGGUUUUACAUACUCCUGUUCAGCCAAUAAUUAUAACAUUGCACUAUUCAAUUCCCUCAUCCCACGAGGGAAUUGCCUCUUGACCGAAUAGAUAAGAUGUGGUUUCUCCUAUGGGAAACCUGGGUUCAGAUCCCACCUGUGACACAAGUUUGUGCCUAUCAAUCAGAUACUUGUUCCUAAAGUUUACCUGCUGUCGCCACGCUGACCCCUGUAGCGCUCCUCUUCUUUGUUUUCAGACCUCAAAAGUAGUCUAAUAUCAAGAUCUGUGCAUGUUCUAUACCAUUGGUUGUGUAAAUUUGUUUUUCUUCAAAUAUCUGACUAACUUAGAUUUUUGAGUGGACUAACACUUUGACACUAUAUAAAAUGUGGGGAUUAUGUGUAAAAUGUAAUGAACUACUGUAGGUGGCAACAACAGUGUGUUUGGAUAGGGCUCUACAGUUGAAGCUGUCACUUUCAUUUAUAAUCAACUGCAUGCAACUUAGUUGCUGAAAGUAUUUUUAGUAAAUGUAGUUGUUGGAUCUUGCAUGGGAUUCAGAGCAGUUGACACUUGAUAAAUCAAAGUUAUAGAUUGCUUAGAGUUUGAACAUAGGGGACUAUCCAAACCAAGUAAGUAAAUCCUGGCCCGGUAAUCCACAAACCCAAGAAAACGUUGUACAACAGUUAUUUGCUCUUUUGUGACAUCCAGAGUAUACUUGCUUCGAUUCAAAUGAAUGUGUCGGUGGUAAAGAGUUUUUAAAAAAUCACUUCUGUUACAGAAGGCAGGCUAUGUCCACUAACUGUGUCUCACCUGAGUGUGUUGUAGUGACCAGGGUACUGUUCAAAUAAGACUCACUCCUUUUUCAAUACUGACAUUGGAAGGAAUGGCCUUUUCAAGCUGUGAAGUAUAACUCAGUCACUAGAUCUGCCUAUGUAAAGUCUAUGUAAAUAUGCAGGGUUAUAGUGAUGAUUGUGUGACAAUUGCAAUGUAGUUGUCAGUCAGAUUCUUGUGGAGCAACAUAACCUUUAAAAUGUAAAAACAACCCCCUCCCAUUCAAUGUGAUAGAAUGACGAUGAAUAAAGUGUUUCCAGAUCA
rnacentral:lncRNA from 1 species